GCCCAGGUGGCGGAAAUGGUAGACGCGCAUGGUUGAGGGCCAUGUAACCGGUAGGUUGUGCAAGUUCGAUUCUUGUCCUGGGCACAA
rnacentral:tRNA from 1 species